GAUGAACGCUGGCGGCGUGCCUAAUACAUGCAAGUCGAGCGAACGGACGAGAAGCUUGCUUCUCUGAUGUUAGCGGCGGACGGGUGAGUAACACGUGGAUAACCUACCUAUAAGACUGGGAUAACUUCGGGAAACCGGAGCUAAUACCGGAUAAUAUUUUGAACCGCAUGGUUCAAAAGUGAAAGACGGUCUUGCUGUCACUUAUAGAUGGAUCCGCGCUGCAUUAGCUAGUUGGUAAGGUAACGGCUUACCAAGGCAACGAUGCAUAGCCGACCUGAGAGGGUGAUCGGCCAAAAUGGAACUGAGACAAGGUGCGGACUCAUACGGGAGGCAGCAGUAGGGAAUCUUCGGCAAUGGGCGAAAGCCUGACGGAGCAACGCCGCGGGAGUGAUGAAGGUCUUCGGAUCGUAAAACUCUGUUAUUAGGGAAGAACAUAAGUGUAAGUAACUGUGCACAUCUUGACGGUACCUAAUCAGAAAGCCACGGCUAACUACGUG
rnacentral:rRNA from 1 species